rfam:Myceliophthora thermophila ATCC 42464 chromosome 4, complete sequence.
UCUUCCGUAGUAUAGUGGUCAGUAUGUGAGCUUGUCAACGGCCACCGGCCAACAAGACUUCGCUCGAGACCCGGGUUCAAUUCCCGGCGGGAGAG